rnacentral:rRNA from 1 species
UACGUAGGGGGCUAGCGUUGUCCGGAUUUAUUGGGCGUAAAGAGCGUGUAGGCGGCCAGAUAGGUCCGUUGUGAAACCUGGAGGCUUAACCUCCGCGCGUAUGAAACCAUCUGGCUAGAGUCCGGAAGAGGAGAGUGGAAUUCCUGGUGUAGCGGUGAAAUGCGCAGAUAUCAGGAAGAACACCCGUGGCGAAGGCGGCUCUCUGGGACGGUACUGACGCUGAGACGCGAAAGCGUGGGGAGCGAACAGG